rnacentral:rRNA from 1 species
AGGGUUUGAUUCUGGCUCAGGAUGAACGCUGGCGGCGUGCUUAACACAUGCAAGUCGAACGGAGCACCCCUGACGGAGUUUUCGGACAACGAAAGGGAAUGCUUAGUGGCGGACGGGUGAGUAACGCGUGAGUAACCUGCCUUGGAGUGGGGAAUAACAGCCGGAAACGGCUGCUAAUACCGCAUGAUGUAUCUGGAUCGCAUGGUUCUGGAUACCAAAGAUUUAUCGCUCUGAGAUGGACUCGCGUCUGAUUAGCUAGUUGGUGAGGUAAUGGCUCACCAAGGCGACGAUCAGUAGCCGGACUGAGAGGUUGGCCGGCCACAUUGGGACUGAGACACGGCCCAG